CCAGGUGCUUCCUACAAAGGAACAAAGUGUGCCCUGAGCCCCAGAUUGGCAAACCCUGUGCUUUCCUUCAUCUCCCAUGAACUCAAGGGUUUUCCAGGUGCAGCCAGCAUUGCAGCAUCCCACGGACGUCGAGUCUCUGAUAAGACUGACGUCAGGCCCAAUCCAUGGAGGCUGGGAAGAGGCGGCAGGCACUUGCUAACGGCAGUUGUUCCAGGCUCUUCCGUGUUUUUGCUGGCCAAGAAGUAAAGUACUUGGAGCACAACGAUGCAGGCAGCCCGGUCAGCCAACAACAGAGCUCCUGCUUCACGAAGGGCUUAUUUUUCCUCCAGAGGAUGGACUUCCACAUGGAGAAAUCUUGGCUGUCCUACCAUCAGCUCUGCCUUGCACUGUGAAUAUCAGCUUUCCUCAGAUCAAGAGGAAGCAGACAUUAAAGUACUCCCAGAUCAAACCUGCGCCCUCUGAGCUGCACUAUUACAACUGGAAGACCCGUCCUUGAGGAAAUUCCACAAAAGGCCUCCCCAACUCGCAGGAUGAUUGCCAAGACGUAAGAGUUCAAGAUGGGACUCAUAAAUAGUUACAAUUAAGUGCAAAACAAUUUCAUUCCUCUUAUAAAAAUCCAAGCCCUUUAAUCAGCAGGGAGCAGGUAGGACAGUCUUGCCCUCACUCCCUCAAGACUGAGGAGAUGUACAAAGAAAAAGGAAAUUGAAACAGCAUGUAAAACAUUGACCAACAUAAACUGGUUUGCCUCAAAUAGGUUGUUGAUUCAUCAAACCUUGAGUUAUUUUAAAGACGGCACCGCACAUGUGCUAGACAGGAAUCCAUGUCUCCAGGAUGACCCCAGAACAAAGAAUCUUCAGUCUACGAACUUAAAGAAUAGAAAUGUUGCCACGAGAGAGCCCUUUACAAA